GCGGGUGUAGCUCAACGGUAGAGCUCCAGCCUUCCAAGCUGGUGACGCGGGUUCGACUCCCGUCACCCGCUCCA
rnacentral:tRNA from 1 species